CAAGAUCAGUACAAAUGACGUUUUGUAUUGAAUUGGUGAUCGAGUUUCGCUGAGACGCGCUACUAGGUCACUUUUCCGCCAUCUUAAGUGCUUUGGAGGCUCGAGAACGGCAACUUAUACGCGACUCAGUUAGGUCAAUUCGUCGUAAGCAGCUUGGUCCUUUCAUCAGGACAGAGAAUCUUCAAGGCAAGAAGCUUCUGAAUACAAGCAUAUAACAGAUACAGCCAUUAAUUUCAUCGCUGGACUGAAGAGCGUCGGCGAAGAGUAGGGAAUAAUCCGUCCCAAAAACUCUCUAAAUCACUUGAGAAAACACAGGAGACCAAAGGCAAAAAAAAUUAUGGCAAGAAGUGGAGUGAAAAUGCCACAAGCGUAUAAAGACAUAUUGACGAAAGUGAGGGAUCCACUGGUAAGCGACUUGGAACCGCAAAUGGUGUUGGUGAAGAUGGCGGCUUCUUUUGUGUUUAACGCCAAGGACGAAGAGGAUAUAAAAGGAGAAAAAACACGUUGGGCUAAAAGUGAAAUGUUGUUAGAAAGAUUAAAUACAAAGUCUUCUGAUGCAUACGACUACUUCAAAGAAGCACUUCGUGAAGUUCAGCCUCAUCUUGAAAAUUUGAUUGUCAGGGCUGAAACUAAUUCUUUGGCGUUUCAAAGAGCAAAAGCCGGACUAGGAAGUAGGACAGGAGUGCAAGAAGCAGUAGUUCAAUUUGAAAGAUUUCAGAUAAGUUCUGAAGCAACAGACAGAUCAGUAAACAGGGAAGCAACACAACAACCAUCAGAACAAAUUGAUGAGACAUUUCAAGCGACAACCCAACCAGCAAGUGGGUUUCAAGACGUUCAGUCAAGUUACUCUUUCUCCAGCCGGCCUGACAAUGUGAUAAUAAGAGAACAAAGUGAUCAGACAUCUCAGGUGGCAACCCAACCAGCAAGUGGGUUUCAAGACGCUCAGUCAAGUUACUCUUCCUCCAGCCGGCCUGACAAUGUGACAAUAAGAGAAAAUGAGGAUUCAACAUCUCAAGCCAGAGCCCAACCAGCAAGGGAGACAAGAGUACGGGAACUAGCUUUUCAAACAGCAACGGCCCAACCAUCCAGUGGGGCAAGAGGGCAACCACUAAGAUAUAACUCAGGGAAUUCCAGGUUGUGUGAUCGACAAGUGGAAAAAAUCUGUAAAGAAGUGGCAUCGUGCUGGCAGGAUCUGGGCAGAAAACUAGGGCUUUUAUCAGCACCGCUCAAGAUAAUAGAUAAAGGGUUCAACCUCGCUCACGAAAAGGCCAGGGGAAUGCUACAAGAAUGGAGGAGAAAGGAAGAUGAAAAUGCCACUUUGAGAGCUCUUUAUGAUGCUCUGAAUGAUCUAGGACGACAAGACAUUGUAACAAAUAUAAAAAAAAAACUAGUAAUUAAGAGUGCAACAUGUCGGGCAAGAGCUCAUCCAGCAAGGAACUAGCUUCUCAAACAGAAACCAGGAUAAGCUCCAGCAUAAAGGGCCACAACCUAAGUACAGACCACUUAUUAUGCAUCUUAGAUGCUGAAAAGAGAAUAUGAGGAAGAAGAGGAGAGGAAGGAAUCAGGAUUAAAUGUUAAAAACUAAAAAUUAUCAAGAUGAUUACUCAUCUUAGAACUACAUAAAGACUUUUAAGACAUGGCUAGCUGAAGGUCGGCUGUAAAAGCAUGCGACAGUUGAAGCAAACUUCACUAUGCCCUUUCUAAAAUAAUACCAUGAGUGGUUUUUUUAGUUUUUUUGCGAUUUUGUAAAUUCAAGUCAAGGUUUGAACACAGUACUAGUUGUUUGAAAUAGCAAAAGCCUAUUUCUGAAUUUCUCCCAAAGUACACAGAUUCUGGAGCCCAAACUAAACAGCUAAGAAGUAGAAAUAUUGUGGUAGCCAACUAUGUAGGAAUCCAGGGGAGGGGGCGAUUUAUGUCUCAUAAGAGCAAAAUGUUUAGGUUUACUAGGGUCGAGAACUAUACCUUUUUAAGUAUUCGUUGUUGCUGUUAUAGACUACUAUGAAACAAAUUAAAAAGGAUUGAGAUUUUA